rnacentral:lncRNA from 1 species
GGCAGGGGAUAACGACUGGACAAAAAAAAAAAAAAAAAAAAAAAAAAAAAAAAAAAAAAAAAAAAAAAAAAAAAAAGAUUCAAUAAUAAAACAAAAAAGGUGUUUCAUUGAAAAAAAGAAGAGAAAGAAAGAAAUUUACUUUAAACUGCUCAAAAAUCAAUUUAUGAACUCCUGUUUUACUCAGUUACCACAUUUGAGACACACUCUUUCCAUGCAUAUGAAAACCCCUGUUGUCAUAUUUUCAUUCUUCUUACAUAUCGAGACACAUGGUUUUUUUUUUGUGUGUGUUUGAGCUUCACGUGUGUUUUUCUAUUAUCUCUCUUUGGGCAUCAAUUUUCUGCUUUCGUGUGGCCAUUCAUUUUACUACCCUGUCUCACCCACUGAACAAUUCUCAUCCACGCCAGAGACCAGCUCUAAUGUACUCAUUUUUCUCCGCAAAGGACUGCCUCCAUGUCUCCUGCAGCAUAGAGAAUCAGUAAGCACAUAUUUUUAUUACUCUACAGCACAUCACUCCUCUGCCCGUGGGUAGAGAGCUUUGCAUGAAAGAAAACAGUUGUGCAAAACAAACAGUAAGGGUAACUUGAUCUAUAGCACAGAGCUCUAAAAGUUUGUUCUAGUAUCCCACAGAUAUGGAUUGGUCUACUGUGGUUCUCUGCAUACUGUCUGGGCUAGAAAGCCGAGACUUAGAAAAGGUCAUAUUGACCUGAAUUUUGCUAUUAUUUUCCAGAAUAUAGAGAAAAUAUCAAUCUUAAUUUUUCCUCCUCUUGCCUUUCCCUAGGCAAGAUAUAUUUUACAGUUUUUUCCUUAGUGUUAUUUUUGUUUGUUUGUUAUCUGCGCAUUUUUUGUUUGUUUAUCUAAAGUAGGGUUUGCUGUGUAGUUCUGGUCAGCUUGGAAUUCACUAUGUAGAAAUGGCUCACCUUGAACCUACAGCAAAGUGUGUCUACCCUACCUUUAUAUCUAAGGACUGGAUUACAGGAAUGGGUCACACUGGUUUCUUUUCCAGUUUUCCUAGGAAUUUUAGAACCUAUUGAACUAAAGAGAGAUGCGACCAAGAGAUAGGCAACCUUUUUUGCUUUUUAGAACAAACUGGAUGCAUAAAGUUCCAAACAUUCUGACCCCUGUGAGGAUAUCCUGAAUUAAAAAUGGAAAUGUUUCUUCUCCUCCUCUUAACAGAAAUAUUUCUACUCAAGUUACAUUGUUUAGUGGUUGAUAUCUGCUCUUGUUUGUACUUUACACAUGAAAUCAGCAGUCAGAAUGCAUAGUGUCUUUCAAUAUCUAUGUCUCUGUUACUAAAGGGUACAAGAAAGCCAGGCAGUGGUGGAGCAUGUCUUUAAUCCCAGCACUUGUGAGGCAGAGGCAGGCAUAUUUCUGAGUUCAAUGCCAGCCUGGUUUACAGAGUGAGUUCCAGGACAGCCAGGGCUACACAGAGAAACCCUGUCUCAAAAAACCAAACCAAACCAAAAACAAACAAACAAAAGAGGAACAAGAAUCAUAACAACUGCUCUUUCUUACCACCUGAAGGAAGAUACUUAGGAGGAAGGCUUUUUAACAAUCCAGGUUGCCAGAGAUAUUAAAUUAGUGUGUCUAUAAUCUGAGGCUGAAAGUAACUGUACUUAGGCUGUUAUUUUGAAGACAAGCGCAUUACUUUAAAUUUGCUUGUUGCUUGUAUUAUGUAAAACUGCGAAUGGUUAAUUGUGUGUCUCUUGUUUUCUUGCUGAUUCAUUUUCAGUUUGUUCCUAGAUUCUUGUCACUCAUCACUUUGCCUUUUGAAGAGAGAUUAAAAAGCAAGUCUGUUUGAACUCUGCAUGCAGUUUUGAGUGUUGAUGCCACUUACGAGUAGUGUGAAUUAAGAUCUGUCAGGGCUGUUCUCUUCUUUGAUGCUUGUUUUCAUGUCCAGCAAGCCUGACCCUUUUUUACUGCAUUCUUUAGUGCCUUUAUUUCUAUCUUAUAUGUGCAAGAGGGAAAAAAAAAAGACUAACAUGUUUUGAAGAAGUUUCCUUAACCAAAGAGAGAUCAUUUUUCGAUCUUGUAUGAGAACAUCUUAGAUACAGUGGAAAAUAUUUUCAUGUCUUUUGCCUCAACUGUUCCUUCUCAUAUAUUAUCAUUUAAGCUCUAAAAAAACCACCUGGUAAAAUUUCUACCUGAUAAGUUAGUAUAUUUCUUUUUUGUUGUUGUUGUUUAAUGUUCACAUUUCACUUAUAUGAGUCUAGGUUUUUCAACUAACUUUGAGAUUCUUUGCAUAGUUAGCAUUUCUCAGCAUAGUAAAAUCUUAGAAAUAGUUCAUAAAAAUGUGUUAUCUGAUUAAUAUCUUAUCCAAAAAUCAUGGAUUACUCUGAAGGCAGAAAGCAACUUUAUAAAAUAUACCAAUUUUUUCAGCUUACAUAAAUUAAUAAUUGAUUUUGCACUCAGACAUACUUAUUGAUCUAUAAUUAAAAGACCUCCAAAAGCUAUUUUUCAUGCUACCCUGCAUUUUAAAAGGUAUCUAAGGUUUAAGAAGGAAAAAAUGAACAUUUUAAAGGAUAGGGGCAUUCCUCUAAAUAUUUUUAUGUUUUAUACAAAUGAUUUUAAAAUUCCAUUGUGAAAUGUUAUAUUUAUUUUAAAACUAUGAUUGUCUAAGUGUAAAGAAAUAGACAAACGACAAAGAAAACACGACAAAGAAAAGUAUGGUUAGACCUUAGUUUUUCAUUCUGCACUUUACAUUGCCAGCCAUUGUUGGUGUGCACAUGUGUGCCUUUAGCAGUUCCACACACAAUUGUUGCCAUUCUCCUGAAAUGUCUAUUUUAAGAUUUCUAUUUCCCCCAUGCUCCAUUCAUAAUUGUGUUUUGUUUGAAACAAAAAACAAGCAAACAAUCCUGCAGGUCAUAUUUGAGCAGGCAAAGUGCAGAAGUUCCCCGCUAGAGAAGAAAGAAGAAAGAAGAGAGAUGCUCCUUGUUGAGAUGAAUUGGAACUCCUUG